rnacentral:rRNA from 1 species
UACAGAGGGUGCAAGCGUUAAUCGGAAUUACUGGGCGUAAAGCGUGCGUAGACGGUUAUGUAAGUCAGGUGUGAAAGCCCCGGGCUCAACCUGGGAAUUGCAUUUGAGACUGCAUAGCUAGGGUGCGGAAGAGGGAAGCGGAAUUUCCGUUGUAGCGGUGAAAUGCGUAGAUAUCGGAAGGAACACCAGUGGCGAAAGCGGCUUCCUGGUCCAGCACCGACGUUCAGGCACGAAAGCGUGGGGAGCAAACAGG